AUUGAACGCUGGCGGUAUGCUUAACACAUGCAAGUCGAACGGUAACAGGCCUUCGGGCGCUGACGAGUGGCGGACGGGUGCGAAACGCGUAGGAAUCUGCCGAUUAGUGGGGGACAACGUGGGGAACCUCACGCUAAUACCGCAUACGUCCUACGGGAGAAAGUGGGGGAUCUUCGGAACUCACGCUAAUAGAUGAGCCUAGGUCGGAUUAGCAAGUUGGUGGGGUAACGGCUCACCAAGGCGACGAUCCGGAGCCGGUCUGAGAGGAUGAUCAGCCACACUGGAACUGAGACACGGUCCAGACUCCUACGGGAGGCAGCAGUGGGGAAUAUUGGACAAUGGGCGAAAGCCUGAUCCAGCCAUGCCGCGUGUGUGAAGAAGGUCUUCGGAUUGUAAAGCACUUUAAGUUGGGAGGAAGAGUUGUAAGCUAAUAUCUUGCAGCUUUGACGUUACCAACAGAAUAAGCACCGGCUAACUCUGUGCCAGCAGCCGCCGUAAUAC
rnacentral:rRNA from 1 species